AAGCCAGUGGUGAACUCCACAUACGCAUCCUUUGCUGAGGAUACGGUUAACGGAGCGAAAGCGACGUUCAACCUCAAAAGAAGCAGAGGGGGCUUAGUGGUGGGGUGACUGCGUACCUUUUGUAUAAUGGGUCAGCGACUUAUAUUCUGUAGCAAGGUUAACCGAAUAGGGGAGCCGGAGGGAAACCGAGUCUUAACCGGGCGUUAAGUUGCAGGGUAUAGACCCGAAACCCGGUGAUCUAGCCAUGGGCAGGUUGAAGGUUGGGUAACACUAACUGGAGGACCGAACCGACUAAUGUUGAAAAAUUAGCGGAUGACCUGUGGCUGGGGGUGAAAGGCCAAUCAAACCGGGAGAUAGCUGGUUCUCCCCGAAAGCUAUUUAGGUAGCGCCUCGUGAAUUCAUCUCCGGGGGUAGAGCACUGUUUCGGCUAGGGGGUCAUCCCGACUUACCAACCCGAUGCAAACUGCGAAUACCGGAGAAUGUUAUCACGGGAGACACACGGCGGGUGCUAACGUCCGUCGUGAAGAGGGAAACAACCCAGACCGCCAGCUAAGGUCCCAAAGUCAUGGUUAAGUGGGAAACGAUGUGGGAAGGCCCAGACAGCCAGGAUGUUGGCUUAGAAGCAGCCAUCAUUUAAAGAAAGCGUAAUAGCUCACUGGUCGAGUCGGCCUGCGCGGAAGAUGUAACGGGGCUAAACCAUGCACCGAAGCUGCGGCAGCGAACGUAUCACCCAAGACAACUUUACGGAGUUGACGAUUGAUGGAGCGAAGCGACGUCAAAGCGUUCAUUAAAGUCGAGUUGGCUUAGGGAUACGUUCGUUGGGUAGGGGAGCGUUCUGUAAGCCUGUGAAGGUGGCCUGUGAGGGUUGCUGGAGGUAUCAGAAGUGCGAAUGCUGACAUAAGUAACGAUAAAGCGGGUGAAAAGCCCGCUCGCCGGAAGACCAAGGGUUCCUGUCCAACGUUAAUCGGGGCAGGGUGAGUCGACCCCUAAGGCGAGGCCGAAAGGCGUAGUCGAUGGGAAACGGGUUAAUAUUCCCGUACUUGGUGUUACUGCGAAGGGGGGACGGAGAAGGCUAUGUUGGCCGGGCGACGGUUGUCCCGGUUUAAGCGUGUAGGUGUGUGUUCCAGGUAAAUCCGGUUCACUUUAACACUGAGGCGUGAUGACGAGGCACUACGGUGCUGAAGCAACAAAUGCCCUGCUUCCAGGAAAAGCCUCUAAGCAUCAGGUAACAUCAAAUCGUACCCCAAACCGACACAGGUGGUCAGGUAGAGAAUACCAAGGCGCUUGAGAGAACUCGGGUGAAGGAACUAGGCAAAAUGGUGCCGUAACUUCGGGAGAAGGCACGCUGACACGUAGGUGAAGUGAUUUACUCA
rnacentral:rRNA from 3 species